CCAGUAGUCAUACGCUCGUCUCAAAGAUUAAGCCAUGCAUGUGUAAGUAUAAAUAAUUUUACUUUGAAACUGCGAAUGGCUCAUUAUAUCAGUUAUAGUUUAUUAGAAAUACUUUACUACUUGGAUAACCGUAGUAAUUCUAGGGCUAAUACAUGACUAAAUCCUCAACUUCGGAAGAGGUGUGUUUAUUAGUAUGAAAACCAUAUAUCUUCGGAUAUAAUAGUGAGUAAUAAUAACCUUUCGUAUCGUAUGUCGUAAGAUAACGAUAGUUCUUUCAAGUUUCUGCCCUAUCAGCUUUCGAUGGUAG
rnacentral:rRNA from 1 species